GCAAAACAGUCACUGAUUCAAAUCCCCGAGCCUGAAUGAGAGUGUCUACUAAAUAUAUAAAAUGUAAACAUAAUUACAAAUCAUUUGUCGACUGCAAAUUGAUUGCAAGAAGCCCAAACAUAGUUUGACUAAAACGUAAUAAUUUCAAACCUUACAAUUGCAUAUUACAUAUAAAAGUAACCUGUAAAGCUUGUCAUAAGCCCAGUGCAAAUAUAUCUGGGCUAAGCCACAAAGCAUGUUAUCAGUUAGUCAGUGUCUUAGAGCAUGUAACAUUGGGGCUUUUCCCCUUGUCCAUGUGUUUAAAGAGCUUUUACCGAAUACAGAAUGUCAACACAGUGUUUUCUUUACCUUAGCCUAUUACUUCCACAUAACAGUCCAAUAUGUUUCUCACAAAUACAAGACAUUUACACACACAUAAAAGCAUUGGGGGACAUGGGGAUUUACUUAAUAUACAAAACAUGACAUAAAGACAUUGAGCGUAAAUCAUAGUCCACAGACGAUAAGACGCAAUGCGACAUAGCUAAACUGCUUUGAGACCACUAUCUGCGGGGGAUGCAAAUCACAAACGCUCACCUCCCCACAAUUCCCAACCAACGCGGCUCCGCUACACAUCCUCUAUUCAUUUUAAUGUGGUGACGUUGGAGAAAUAGCUUGAGCUGCUCUGAGAAUUUGAAAAGUAUUUGAGGAGGUGCUCCUGGAUGCAGACUGGAGCGUAAACUCAGGCACUGGAUGUGGCUCUCCUGCAGUGUCUUUCUUCCAGCAGUUCUUCCACUGCUACUGUCCUGUAUAGGCUUCGGGACGAAGGAAAGACCCCAGCGGAGACUACAUCAGGCGCUACAUCCUUACGCUAAAGGACUAUCCCAACUACUACCUCUAUGAGCCGUGGAGAGCCCCAGAGCCUGUCCAGAAAGCAGCUAACUGCAUCAUGAAUGGACUACCCUAAGCCCAUGAUCAACCAUGCAGAGGGCAGCAGGCUCAACAUAGAGAAGAUGAAGAAGGUCUCCUGGCCUCUGUGUCCACCACCCAGGAAGAGGCAGUGCCUCCCCCGACAGACGACUUUUAGAUCAGCAGCAGCACCUGUGUCACCCACACACACGUUGUCUGUCCAGUCCAACACUCUGAAGAGAGGCAGGCCCUCCGAACCAUAG
rnacentral:lncRNA from 1 species